rnacentral:misc_RNA from 1 species
AAGUCGUAACAAGGUUUCCGUAGGUGAACCUGCGGAAGGAUCAUUAACACGUAUCCAACAUUAAACCCCCGACAAAGAUGGACCUGGUAAAUCAGUGGAGAAAUUGAUUUUGAUUCAGUAUCGAACGCUGGACGCACGAACCUACCUGUAGGGAACUCAUUUGCUUCACAAUCAUCGGUCGAUCACCGGCCAUUUGACCAGGACGUGGCCCCUAAAAAGGUCCCUUUAAAUAUUGACUACUAGUUAUUACCACGCCUAGACCCAACGCAAGUGCACCGGGAGGCUAGAUCAAAACGAACAACUGUUAACAAUGGAUAUCUCGGUUCUC